rfam:Streptomyces sp. CC53 NODE_272_length_183139_cov_115.107796, whole genome shotgun sequence.
CCGUGUCGACCAGGGGGGGGGAGAUGAAGUGGACGUGGGCGUCGACGGCUCCUGCGGUGAGGAUCCUGCCGUUGCCGGAGAUGAUCUCCGUCUCCGGUCCGAUGACGAGGUCGGGGUGGACGCCGUCCAUGGUGUCGGGGUUGCCGGCCUUGCCGAUGCCGGUGAUGCGGCCGUCCCGGAUGCCGAUGUCGGCCUUGACGAUCCCCCAGUGGUCGAGGACGACGGCGCCGGUGACGACGGUGUCGGGGGUGCCGUCGGCGCGGGCGGCGCGGGACUGGCCCAUGGACUCGCGG